GAGGGUAUGGCUCAGUGGUAGAGUGCACGCUUAGCAUGUGCAAUGUCCUGGGUUCAAUCCCUGGUACCUCUG
rnacentral:tRNA from 1 species